GACGAACGCUGGCGGCGUGCUUAACACAUGCAAGUCGAACGGAAAGGCCCUGCUUUUGUGGGGUGCUCGAGUGGCGAACGGGUGAGUAACACGUGAGUAACCUGCCCUUGACUGUGGGAUAACUUCAGGAAACUGGGGCUAAUACCGGAUAGGAGCUCCUGCUGCAUGGUGGGGGUUGGAAAGUUUCGGUGGUUGGGGUUGGACUCGCGGCUUAUCAGCUUGAUGGGUGGGUAGUGGCUUACCAAGGCAUGGACGGGUAGCCGGGCUGAGAGGGUGACCGGCCCAGCCGGGAUUGGAAUGAGGCCCAGACUCGUAUGGGACGGAAGGGUGCGGAAGGGAAUACAAGGGGCGGAAGGCUGAUCUAGCCACGCCGCGUGGGGGGAGAGGGGCUGCGGGUAGGAAACCGAAUUUCCCUGUCACGAAGCGUGAGUGACGGUACCGGGUGAAGAAGCACCGGCUAACUACGUG
rnacentral:rRNA from 1 species